CGCAGGACUAGGAUGGGUUCUGAUUGCAAUGUGUGUUGUGUUUCUUGCCAUGCGUGUCAAUGCCAAGUAAUGAGUGGGGAGAGCUCCAGGGAUAAUGAUUGUUUCUGUCCCCGGGUAGACGAAUAUGUCUGGGUGCAUCCAUUUGUGGGCUGAAAAAUUGGUGGUUGGUUGCAGCUCCCUGCCUACGAGGCAAUUGGGGUGUAGCCCUGACACGCAGACGAGGACAAAGUGCUUCUGUUCGACCCGUCUUGAAACACGGACCAAGGA
rnacentral:rRNA from 1 species